AUUGAACGCUGGCGGCAUGCCUUACACAUGCAAGUCGAACGGCAGCACGGGUGCUUGCCCCUGGUGGCGAGUGGCGAACGGGUGAGUAAUACAUCGGAACAUGUCCUUUAGUGGGGGAUAGCACGGCGAAAGCCGGAUUAAUACCGCAUACGAUCUACGGAUGAAAGCGGGGGCCCUUCGGGCCUCGCGCUAUUAGGUUGGUCGAUGGCUGAUUAGCUAGUUGGUGGGGUAAAGGCCUACCAAGGCGACGAUCAGUAGCUGGUCUGAGAGGACGACCAGCCACACUGGGACUGAGACACGGCCCAGACUCCUACGGGAGGCAGCAGUGGGGAAUUUUGGACAAUGGGCGAAAGCCUGAUCCAGCAAUGCCGCGUGUGUGAAGAAGGCCUUCGGGUUGUAAAGCACUUUUGUCCGGAAAGAAAUCCUUGGCCCUAAUACGGUCGGGGGAUGACGGUACCGGAAGAAUAAGCACCGGCUAACUACGUG
rnacentral:rRNA from 1 species